rnacentral:rRNA from 1 species
GUGCCAGCCGCCGCGGUAAUACGGAGGAUCCGAGCGUUAUCCGGAUUUAUUGGGUUUAAAGGGUGCGUAGGUGGUUUGAUAAGUCAGCGGUGAAAGUUUGCAGCUUAACUGUAAAAAUGCCGUUGAAACUGUCGGACUUGAGUGUAAAUGAGGUAGGCGGAAUGCGUGGUGUAGCGGUGAAAUGCAUAGAUAUCACGCAGAACUCCGAUUGCGAAGGCAGCUUACUAAGCUACAACUGACACUGAAGCACGAAAGCGUGGGGAUCAAACAGGAUUAGAUACCCUGGUAGUCCACGCAGUAAACGAUGAUUACUAGCUGUUUGCGAUACACAGUAAGCGGCACAGCGAAAGCGUUAAGUAAUCCACCUGGGGAGUACGCCGGCAACGGUGAAACUCAAAGGAAUUGACGGGGGCCCGCACAAGCGGAGGAACAUGUGGUUUAAUUCGAUGAUACGCGAGGAACCUUACCCGGGUUUGAACGUAGGGAGACAGGGGUGGAAACAUCCUUUUCAGCAAUGACUGCCUACGAGGUGCUGCAUGGUUGUCGUCAGCUCGUGCCGUGAGGUGUCGGCUUAAGUGCCAUAACGAGCGCAACCCUUAUUUCCAGUUACUAACAGGUAAUGCUGAGGACUCUGGAGAGACUGCCAGCGUAAGCUGUGAGGAAGGUGGGGAUGACGUCAAAUCAGCACGGCCCUUACAUCCGGGGCGACACACGUGUUACAAUGGUAAGGACAAAGGGCAGCUACCGGGCGACCGGAUGCGAAUCUCUAAACCUUAUCUCAGUUCGGAUCGGAGUCUGCAACUCGACUCCGUGAAGCUGGAUUCGCUAGUAAUCGCGCAUCAGCCAUGGCGCGGUGAAUACGUUCCCGGGCCUUGUACACACCGCCCGUCAAGCCAUGGGAGCCGGGGGUACCUGAAGUUCGUAACCGCAAGGAUCGACCUAGGGUAAAACUGGUGACUGGGGCUAAGUCGUAAC